rnacentral:rRNA from 1 species
AUUGAACGCUGGCGGCAGGCCUAACACAUGCAAGUCGAACGAGCGGCGGACGGGUGAGUAAUGUCUGGGAAACUGCCUGAUGGAGGGGGAUAACUACUGGAAACGGUAGCUAAUACCGCAUACCAUCGGAUGAGCCCAGAUGGGAUUAGCUAGUUGGUGGGGUAACGGCUCACCAAGGCGACGAUCCCUAGCUGGUCUGAGAGGAUGAGCAGCCACACUGGAACUGAGACACGGUCCAGACUCCUACGGGAGGCAGCAGUGGGGAAGAUUGCACAAUGGGCGCAAGCCUGAUGCAGCCAUGCCGCGUGUAUGAAGAAGGCCUUAGGGUUGUAAAGUACUUUCAGCGGGGAGGCGUUACCCGCAGAAGAAGCACCGGCUAACUCCGUGCCAGCAGCCGCGGUAAUUC